CUGACCUCACCACAUUACCAUGUCGCAGGUCAUUUUGUUGUUUCCAAAUAUUGUACAACACAGCACCAAGCGCCAAUUUACAAAGAAUUUACUCUCAGAUUUUUCCCUUUUAUCACCUUAAUUCCAUCACUCCAAAACAUCAUCCCAUGCCACAAGGUGCGGCAGCUUUCAUGCGGCUACCCAGAAUCUCACACCAAAUCCUUUUGCUGUAGCUGCUGAACGAAAAUGUGGUCCCUGCUUUCAAUACUAGCUCUGCAAAAAGCUCAGGAUGCACUGACAAACUCACUGGUUUGUCUUUUCUUGAGCCACGUACUUGAGGAUUCCGUUUCUGUUUCUGGAACAUCAGAGUCUGAUUCAAGGCAAGAUGACAAGGAUUGAAGAUCUCAAUCUUGUAACCGGAAUGACUCCAUGGGUGAUGACAGCUCCCAUUAGCAAAGACACUUUCAUGCAUCCUUUUUCAUUUCUUUUCUCCUUGAUUCUGAAGAGUUGUUGGCUAUCCUUGCAAUGCUAUCAAGCCAGCAGAAGGGCAUUGAAGAAAUGGGAGAACUUGGAGCAGUUCCUUGGUUGCUUAGCAUUAUUAGAGAGAGCAUUUCUAGACGUAACAACAAGAAUUGCAUUGCAACCCUCCAAACCAUCUGUUUUAAUGUGGCCUCUCGGGCCUUCUGUGUAGUCAUUCUCAAUUACCUUUUUGUAUAUUCUCGUUUGGUCUAGAUUCAAUUUCAGCUUCAUUAGUUAAUUGCUGUGAUUCUGGGAAUAAAAUGAAAGGAAGCUUUAUUAAAAAAAUUGUAUCUUCUUUUGUUUUCU